CUGCCCUUCCUUGGGGGCUGGUUUCACUGGUUCUUAGUCCUCCACCCUGACUCAUUUGAGGUGGUUUGCACCUGGGUCCUGGAGGCCACUUAUCCCAAGCUUCUUUCAACUCACAGGCUGGCCUGGACUCUCACCAUCUUUUCAGAGGGGACUUCAGCGGCAAAGAGGGAAUGGUGAACACAUGACUCCUCUGAGAGGAUUUUUAGGGACAAGGAAAAGCACCGAGUUACCAUCAUGGUCUGCAUAUUCUUAUGAAUAAUUUAGAAGUAUAAAAGAAGUCCCUUCGAUCACUGCAGCAGCAAGCACUGGCCUCUCGCUUACCAAGGCACCCAACACACGGGCCACGUGCACCGGCUGGCUCCACUUCUCUACCUGCUUGUCCUCGCUCAGCAAGCGCAGGCUGAGGUCAAUGACAUCCCCCUCGAACUGUUAAGGAUCACACAGGGCCAUGAUGAAGGGUCCCCAGGUCAGGCACUCAUCCUGCAGGACAGCCUCAUCAUCUCGUCCUUCUCCCAGACCCGCACUCCACACCUGCCUCCCUUGCCUCGUCCCUCUGAGGAGCUCUGGCUCCCUCCCCCCACCUCUCAAUGGGACCUGGGUUCCUUUUCCCAGGCAUCCAGUCCUUUGCCUAGCUGUUUUCUGACUCCCAGUAGGGUGUGAGCUCUCAGGGACCCAUGCUGUACUGUUUCGUUUCAUUGCAUUGCAUUCCAUUUCCAUUUAGUGAACCCUGACUGCUCCUACCAGCCCUGAACCGGGAGUGGAGGAUACCGAGGCAGCUCCUGUUCCUGAGGAGCCCACGGUUUAGGACUGGAGAUGGACACGCAGUGCAGCCCCUUAGAUUACAGAGCACAGCAGCAUGGCCAGGGCUCUUGUAGAGAUGCUGGCACAGAGCAGCACAGUGGAGAGGCUCCCCCUGCCUUCGGGGAUUGGGGAAGGCUUUGAGAAGGUCUUGAGAGAUGGGUAGGAGCUUGCCAGGAGAUAAGAGUGGGAAGCCCUUCCUGGCAGAGGGAACGUUCAGCCUGUUGCUCUGAGGAUGGUGAGGAGUUGGAACAUGGGGCGGUUCAUGGGGAAAGGAAAGCAGGGUCCUGGCUGGAAGGGCCGUGGAUGUUAGGCUAGGGGGAUUUGGUCUUUAUCUCAAAGACAGUGGGGAUGUAACUGGGGCUUGAUUUGCCACAGUUUUAAGGAAAAUAAUUCUGGGAGCUCCUGGAGGAUGUUCUGAUAUGGCCCAGAGGAAGGAGAGGCAUCACAAAGCUGAAAUGGGCUAAAGAAAUGGUCUCAUGACCAGGGGUUUUUGAACCUACCAGCUCUGUCUAGCCUGAACAUGCAAGGUUAUGGGACAGUCACUCUACACACUCCUCCCCUAGAGGGCCCUGGUACCUGGCCAAAGUCCCAGGACUCUGCCUGGAUGCAGUCAGCUGUACCCAGGUAGAUGAGACCAUUCUGGUUCAACAAGUACUCCAUGCGCUGAGCCUCAUUCUUCAGGAACACAGCAUCCUCUGGUGAGAGGUGGGUAGGGAUGAGGGCCUGUGGGGGUCCUAGGUCCACCCUCCACAUCCAGGCCUCUGUCCUCCCUGCCGAGAUUAGGUUUGGCUGCAGGCCACCCCGUCAGCUCUGGGCCUAAUGAAGACUGAGGAGGAAGUCCCUCUUUCACUGCCCCCACUGGGACCCAGCCCAGAGUCCCUGGGUCAAUCAGGGUGUGGCCUUUAUGGUCAGCCAGGAAGACAAGAACAACCUUAAAAAGCUUGGCUGGCCAGGUGCAGUGGCUCACGCCUAUAAUCCCAGCACUUUGGGAGGCCAAAGCAGGACAGUUUGAGGCCAGGAGUUCGAGACCAGCCUGGGCAACACAGCAAGACUCCGUCUCUACAAAAAAUAAAAAAAAACAGCCAGGUGUGGUGGUGCGCACUUGUAGUCCUAGCUAUUCAGGAGGCUGAAGCGGGAGGAAACUUGAGCCCAGGAGUUUGAGGUUGCAAUGAGCUAUGAUGGUGCCACUGCACUCCAGCCUGGGUGACAGAGUGAGAGAUUUUCUCUUAAAAAAAAUGAA
rnacentral:lncRNA from 1 species